CGAUGGAGUAAACGGAGAGGCGAGCAGAGAGGCGAUUUGGGCGGCGAGCCAGCGACAGAGACGAAGUAAACAAACCGGAGACAGAGGGAUGUGGGUGGAGUGAUCAACGCUGGUUGCGUCAACAAGGAGAGGAGAAGCCGAGGAGUGCUUACCGUAGAGGCGAGACGACAAGAUGAGCGACGUGCGACGGUAAAGUG